GUUUAUGGCCAUGCUACCCUGAACUAGCUGAUCCCAUCUGAUCUCAGAAGCUAAGCAGGGUUGGGCCUAGUUAGUACUUGGAUGGGAGAUCACCUAGGAAGACCAGGUACUGUAGGUG
rnacentral:rRNA from 1 species